rnacentral:rRNA from 1 species
UACGUAGGGUGCAAGCGUUAAUCGGAAUUACUGGGCGUAAAGCGUGCGCAGGCGGUUUUGUAAGUCUGACGUGAAAUCCCCGGGCUCAAACUGGGAAUUGCGUUGGAGACUGCAAGGCUGGAGUCUGGCAGAGGGGGGUAGAAUUCCACGUGUAGCAGUGAAAUGCGUAGAGAUGUGGAGGAACACCGAUGGCGAAGGCAGCCCCCUGGGUCAAGACUGACGCUCAUGCACGAAAGCGUGGGGAGCAAACAGG